ACAAGGCUAUUUCAAGCUUUCAUAAUCAAUGCCUUAAAGAGGAAGCCCAAUAGCGUAGAUAUUCAGAAACGCAGCAAAGGAAAAUCUGGCAAACGGAGCACACCACUGAAGGCCAAGAACACAAUGCAACUCACUGGGGUUGCACUGCUCUCGACAAAGGAGAAGGUUCAAAAGCAGAAUACCCAUAACUGCAGCAAAGGUGCNNNNNNNNNNNNNNNNNNNNNNNNNNNNNNNNNNNNNNNNNNNNNNNNNNNNNNNNNNNNNNNNNNNNNNNNNNNNNNNNNNNNNNNNNNNNNNNNNNNNNNNNNNNNNNNNNNNNCCUCAGCAAAUUAAAGCAACAAUAGUAGCAGAUGCAGCAAACAAACCUAUUGAAUAAGGCCAAGAAUGACGAUGCAACUCACUGGGUUGCACGUCUCUCUUCAAGGUCGGAGAGAGGAACUGGAGUGAAAAAGACCAUUGGACAUGCGCCAGCACGUGAACCAGAGCAGGGACAAAGAGGUGGCGAGUGUUGGCUAUUCGCUUGGAAUCCGGCGACCGAAUUCUGGGGAGUCGCUGAUCGGCGGCUAGAGAAUAUCCUGGGUUGGGCGGUGAGGCAAAAUACUAACCCUAGUAAGGCUUCCUAGGGUGGCAGUGGCUUCUCGUAUGGGAAGUUUUGGGNNNNNNNNNNNUUUUUUUUUUUUUUUUUUUUUGAAUGGAAGGCUCUGAUACCAUAUUGAGAGAAUAUAUUGUAAUUGUAUUUCUUGUGUCUCAUCAAUUGAUUACAUAGGUCUAUAUAUAAGGAAUUCCUAUGCUACCUAGCUAUUUAGGAAUACAAAUCAUAAACUAAUUAGGAAUCUAAGUCCUAAUAGAAUUCUAUUUACAACUAAUCCUUAACAACAUAAAUGAUGAAAUGAGAAAGGUUGUUAUUUGAUUCUAUGCAACAAUGGUAGGCUUUGCAAAUAUCAAUUGGAACUGAAAAUUUAUAAGGAGGCCCAUGUUUCAUUUAUUUAAGAAGUGACAUUUCUUGUUCCUCACUCUAUUUUCUGUUAUACUGAACCUGGAAACUUCACAGUUCAUUGAAUCUGAGGGCAAAAUUGGUUGCCUGAAGAAAUGAAGGAAAAUGAAUAGACUACAAUUUAGUUUGCCAAAUGAAAUGAAGCAUGGUCGUCUUAAUCAGUGAACUGCAUUUGAUGAGAUGCUAUAAUGAGCUGUUAAAUAGGGUUACACAGUUUACAUUUUUGGUUAGAAGCAAUUGGCAUAUGGUCAAGGGCGGUGCUACAUGCAAUUGAAGGGGGUCAAGUUGCCCUUUUGUCUUUGAAAAAAAGUAAAUAAUUUCCUCCGCUUUUCAAUGGGCUUGAACCCUGGACAAAUAAGAAAUUUUAUGCUGUGUUAACCAAUUUGCUCCCCUUCAAUUUUCUGUUUAGGAGGUGGUUGCCCCCCUACAAUUUUGUGUUGAGGAGUUUGCCCCCCUUCUACUUAAUUCCUAGGUCUGCCUCUACAUCUGGUCUGGCUGUUAUCCAAGAAAUAUAAGCCUCUAACAACUCAUUUUGAGUUUAAGGAUGAGUUAGAAUUUUCCUGUCCAUCAUUAGUAAAGUUUUGGAAAAUUGGUCCCAGUUUAACAUUGUUUAUAGGAUAUAAUUGAACAUAAUAAAAUCAAUCAAAUAAAAGUUCAUUUUAAUUAUGAACUUAAAAUUGUCCUAUUAGAUCAUAUUACAUUCUUGUUGUCCCAUAGCAGUCCAAGAGGGGAGUGAAUUGGGUUAAUUAAACUUUUUGAGGAAAGCUUGGCAAAUUAAGAUAAAUUGGAAAUUAAGAAAAUGAAGAAGGUAGAAUUAAAGAAGAUAGAAUUUAUAGAGGUUCAACUAUCCUAAGCCUACUCGCUUACUCUCCUCAAGGCCCUCCUUGAGAGUUUCAAUCCACUAAUAACUUAUUCUUUGGGUGAAAACAAACCCUUACAGUAUUCAAAUGCAAAUCCUUGCACUUAACCAACACGAUCUCACAAAUGUUUAUUAAAUACACUCACAAUUAGUUUCUUACUCAAUUACUACAACAAUUCAUUCUUGAUCUCUAUCCAACAAUAAAUUCCCACAAUAAAAGUGUUGAGAGAUUAUAUUGUAAUUGUAUUUCUUGUUUCUCAUCAAUUGAUUACAUAGGUCUAUAUAUAAGGAAUUCUUAUGCUACCUAGCUAUUUAGGAAUACAAAUCGUAAACUAAUUAGGAAUUUAACUCCUAAUAGAACUCUAUUUACAACUAAUCCUUAACACUCUCCCUCAAGUUGGAGCAUAGAUAUUAAUCAUGCUCAACUUGUUACAAACUACUACUUUUCAGCAAAGCACAAUACCAUACUCAUCAACUGUACCCACUUCAUUAUAGCAAUAUAGAAUCCCUGACCAAAUAGUAGUAGCAGAAUUAAGACGACACACUUAGGUUGUCGAAACAAAUCUCACUGAACCAGAAAACAACUCACAGGGCUGUUUCAAGCUUCCAUAAUCAAUGCCCCAAAGAGGAAGCGCCAUAGCGUAGAUAUUCAGAAACGCAGCAAAGGAAAAUCUGGCAAACGGAGCACACCACUGAAGGCCAAGAACCAAUGCAACUCACUGGUGCUACACUGCUCUCGACAAAGGAGAAGGUUCAAAAGCAGAAUACCCGUAACUGCAGCAAAGGUGCAGUACUAAACCCUAAUG
rnacentral:lncRNA from 1 species